rnacentral:lncRNA from 1 species
AGCAGCGUAGCUGAACAUCUUACGGAUGGCCCAGGGCUCCAAAGGCUCGUUUCCUAAGUGAGAGAGAGCCUGGCUGAAGCUGUAUUACCAUUCAUUCUCCAGCCUCCGAAGUCUCAAAGCAUCACUUCCACCAUACUCUAACUGUCAAGACAAACACAAAGGCCCAGAAACUGCCAGACUGUCUUCCGAAGUGGCUAUAAUAUUUACACUCACAUCAGCAGUGUAGAAGGGGUCUCACUAUGUUGUCUGGAGUGCAGUGGCUGGAGUGGAGUGGCUAUUCACAGAGCCUGUUCUGCUGGGACACAGAAUCACUUGCUCCAUCUCAUACAUUGAUGAUGAUUAAUUUGUAUGUGUACCUUCCAAAAAAAGAUGGUUGUGUUUGAACGGAGGCCUUCUGGACAGGAAAAUAUGGAGAGUGCGUGCUUUGGAUUCAAGACUGGGAAUGAGGGGACCAGAAACCUAUUCUGUGGCUGUUUCUUGUUAGGACUUUCCUAAGCCUCUGGAAAAGGUUCAAUCCUGCUGAUGCUCUCCAUGGAGAUGGUCAGCAAGUGCAAAGUACAAUUAACAUUUGAGUCUGUCUGAGUCAUGAAGAAAUGGAGAUUACUG